UACGUAGGUGGCAAGCGUUGUCCGGAUUUACUGGGCGUAAAGAGCGCGCAGGCGGUCUAGUAAGUCGAAUGUGAAAGCCCCCGGCUCAACUGGGGAGGGUCAUUCGAUACUGCUUGACUUGAAGGUAGGAGAGAGAAGCAGAAUUCCGGGUGUAGUGGUGAAAUGCGUAGAGAUCCGGAGGAACCCCAGAGGCGAAGGCGGCGUCCUGGCUCGCAUCUGACGCUCAGACACGACAGCAUGGGGAGCGAACGGG
rnacentral:rRNA from 1 species